rnacentral:rRNA from 1 species
UACGUAGGCAGCAAGCGUUGUUCGGAGUUACUGGGCGUAAAGGGUGUGUAGGCGGUUCUUUUAAGUUUGGUGUGAAAUCUCCCGGCUCAACUGGGAGGGUGCGCCGAAUACUGAGGGACUAGAGUACGGGAGAGGAAAGUGGAAUUCCUGGUGUAGCGGUGAAAUGCGUAGAUAUCGGGAGGAACACCUGUGGCGAAAGCGGCUCACUGGACCAUAACUGACGCUGAUGCACGAAAGCUGGGGGGAGCAAACAGG